rnacentral:rRNA from 1 species
CUGGGAAACUGGGGAUAAUACCGGAUAGGCAAUUAUUCCUGUAAUGGUUUUUUGUUUAAAUGUUUUUUCGCCUAAGGAUGGGUCUGCGGCCGAUUAGGUAGUUGGUUAGGUAAUGGCUUACCAAGCCGUUGAUCGGUACGGGUUGUGAGAGCAAGAGCCCGGAGAUGGAACCUGAGACAAGGUUCCAGGCCCUACGGGGUGCAGCAGGCGCGAAACCUCCGCAAUGUGAGAAAUCGCGACGGGGGGAUCCCAAGUGCCAUUCUUAACGGGAUGGCUUUUCAUUAGUGUAAAAAGCUUUUGGAAUAAGAGCUGGGCAAGACCGGUGCCAGCCGCCGCGGUAACACCGGCAGCUCUAGUGGUAGCAAUUUUUAUUGGGCCUAAAGCGUCCGUAGCCGGUUUAAUAAGUCUCUGGUGAAAUCCUGUAGCUUAACUGUGGGAAUUGCUGGAGAUACUAUUAGACUUGAGACCGGGAGAGGUUAGAGGUACUCCCAGGGUAGAGGUGAAAUUCUGUAAUCCUG